rnacentral:rRNA from 1 species
GACGAACCGAGCGAACGUUAUUCGGAAUCACUGGGCUUAAAGGGCGCGUAGGCGGGCCAUCAAGUCAGGGGUGAAAUCCCCCAGCUUAACUGGGGAACUGCCUUUGAUACUGGGUGCCUCGAGUGAGGUAGGGGCGUGCGGAACUGAUGGUGGAGCGGUGAAAUGUGUUGAUAUCAUCAGGAACUCCGGUGGCGAAAGCGGCACGCUGGACCUUUACUGACGCUGAGGCGCGAAAGCCAGGGUAGCGAACGGG